UGCAUACGUUAACUAAUACGAUUUAAAGUCUGUAGGUGGCGUAAAUGGUUAAUGACAUAUAUAAUAGACUGAGCAUAGCGGGUUUGGCAGAACGGUGAGAGAGGCAAGAUAUCGGGGAAGUUUUCUUUCCUUGUCUGCGCAGUCGAAUAGGCAAUCGUCUAGUGACAGCCAAUGGCACAGACUCAUGACAGCAAGAAAUACGCAUAAGCGUAGUUAUGUACGGGCAACAAGAUAAUAUAUAUAUGUAUUGCCCUUCAUACCAUGCGUUAUCGUACGACAAAUGUUGAAUCAUGACCAACAUUUCGUCCGACAUCGGACGAUGACGGACGGCCAAGCGAUUCGAUGAUACGAAGUAAAAUCCUGCUUUUUGAUUGGUUGCGGAGCGUCGUACGACGUACGUCGGAUGCAGUGUGAAUCCAACAUAUGCCUGGAGGUCUAAAAAAGG